CGAUCUCUAGAGCCUUAGGCCUCAGCGCACCCCUGAAUGGAUACCCUGGUUGGACUGGCUUGGCCUCUGCGCCCCAACGCGUUGGGCACCCACAGCAGUGCGUGGGUGUUCUCUGCCCCUGGUUCUCGUGGAAAGGAGGCCGCAAGGACGCAGUGAUCCCCGUGCUCUCGAUUUUCUGGCCAGAUUCGGCCUUCAGGGCGGUCACCUCCGGAGACUCGGCCCUGCCACCCUAGUCCGUGCCCUGACGCCUCGCUGCCUUACUGGCCGUUUCCGGGAGAAACUAGGGUAGACGCCCCGGGGAAACCCGGCCAGCCGGGGUCCCAACCUGGCUGGGGAUGAGCCAGGCUGCGCCCAGGAGUGUUCCAGUCUCCAGUUCUGAGUCCCAGCGACCCCCGGACAGACCCGGAGGCCCCCGGGGGGGGAGGAGGAGGCCUGGACUGGGCUGCGCAGACACAGCCCCAGCCACCUCCCUGCGGAGAGGGCGGGUGAGUCUCGCCUUGCGGAAACCCCCUUUACUCUAGGUUUCCUCCACACCGCCGGACACAGCUUUGCAGCCCAUCUUCCAGGACAGAGAGAAGACGUCGAGUCAGGGGAGGGGAUGCCGGCCAGGCGCCCUAAGGAUCUGCAGGGCCCCGGCUGCUGGGACGCCUUGUCGCACCCUCUGCUGCCCUGGGCUCUGGGCCUGAAACGCCCUCCAGGGCGGUGGGCGGCAGCGCAGGUGCCCCUUGACAUCCUCUGCCCGCUGCCCACCCGGCCGUCUUCGGUGCCACCGUUCAGAAGAGUCCACUGCUUCUGGCGGCGAUGGGAGCAGCUAUUCUGACUUGUCACCCCAUAUUCUGCCCACCUCCCCGUUUCCAGUUCAAUACGAGAUCGUAUCGUUCUCACCAGCCCUGUGCUGCCUCCAGCCUGUUCCCCAGGCCCCAGGGUUCUAGGUGCUUCCCUGCGGCUCCCAUAGGGGUCCUCUUUCCUUCUGGAGGGUGGAGGGGCAGCUUCCGUGUAGAAGUUAACGCUGUCAGCGCCAAAACGCUAGGACUUCAGUGUUAUUUGCUGCGGCUGGCGGGAAAAUGUUCAAAGUUGUUUCUUCCUCCUGAAUUUUUCUCGGAAAACAAAACAAACAAACAAAAGAACUCUUGAGUGCUUGAGUGAGGAUCUUGCUUAGCUCUUUGGCCGAGACAAGUUCCUGGGAAGCUGAACAUAUUGAAUAAAACCAAUUCUGUUGAUCUUAACGUUUAAAAUCCUGGAUGGGAUAUGAAGUAUAUCUCAGGACAUUUUGGGAGUGGAGCUGUCAGAUAUUAGGAAGUGAUAAAAGAUGAAGAAAAAAGGAAAACAGUUAAGAGAACAAAACCUACAUUGUAAGCUACAUCAAUUCACUGUGACAUGAUUUAUUGACAGGCAAAGAAGCAACAUGUACGAUUAAUGGCCCUGAAGAUUUUAAAUGUAAGUUACAAACAAAAAAAUCCAAGCAUAAUCUAAGCAUGCAUAUGUAUAUAUACAUAUAUAUAACAAACUAGUUAAUUGUAGCAUGUGUAUAUAUGUAUGUAUGAAAAUAUAACAAAGAUA